GUCAUUCAGUACAAGAAAGGCUGACGCAACUCUCAGGAUCAAAUCUAUCUGGAAGAUCUCCACCAUAAGACAAAGCAAAGAAUUUUCUGUAUAUAUACGUGUGUGUGUGUAUGUUUAUGUUGUUUGUAAAGCGCUCACUGAUCAUCAGACCUGCCAACAUACAGAGAGAGUGUUCAAGGUUUCUGGAUUAAUCAGACAGUGAAGAGAAUUUCAUCACAGCCACAGCAAGAGAGAGACAGAGGGCAGCAGUGACUGAGCAGAUUUGAACAGACAGAGGUUAUUGAAGAGCGUAUUGUGAAAGCUUCGAACAAUUCAAUAGAACAUGGUUGAUAAAAGCUCGGAAGCCAUGCUGACAACGAAGGUCAUCAGCUCAACUGGGACAAAGUGACUCUACUGGGUCAAGCGAACAACAGACGUACAAGGGAAUUUCUGGAGGCCUGGUUCUCAACACG